rnacentral:lncRNA from 1 species
ACAAAAUAUUUUGCUUGCUUAUUUUUUGAAUAUCUUGAUUAAAAAUCUUCAAAUGAUUUGAAAACAUCAUGCAAUCAAAAUUAAAAUGGCUUGUUUAUAAAAAUUUGUAAUUGACAUCAAGUGCCUCCCAAAGUGCUGGGAUUACAGGGGUAAGCCACCGCGCCUGGCUGAAUAAUCCCUUUUCUUAAGAGCAUGACUUCAAUUGCAGCCUGAAAUCUGGCCAGAUUUGGGAUUUGUGAAAAGGCAAAAAUAUUUGUCAGACACCCACUGCCAGGAAUGCUGAUUUUAAUUUCGUGACUUCUACUGCAGAAAAAAAAAAAAAAGUUAAUUUUCCCACUUGGAGUUUUUAUCCAUGGAUAUCAGGCUACAAUAUUUCCCCCAGAGUUAUCUUUCCUGCUUCCUUCUUUUGGCAAAACUUACAUGGAGGUGAGUUUCCUCAAUGUGGGCAGAAGGUUAAAGCAAUAAGAACUUGCGGUUGCUGGCCUUCCUUGUAGCCUGGUUUCUGAAUGCAUUUAGGUUGAUGUGGCAUCGUAACACUCUCUAGGGCUUACAGGAAAACUUUGUUCUGUUCCGGAAGCUCCUGUGAGCCAGCGGCUAUGAACUUGUGGCCCAGCCACAGGGAAUCAGGAACUUCUGAGUUAGAGCCCAGACGCCACUGAGCCUCACUGAGUGACCUCAAGCAAGUUACUUAACAUUUGCCUGCUCCUCAUUUUCCA